GAUAGAACAACAGAGAGUGUAGUAACCGAGACACAGAGGAAGGAGACUUGAUGGAGUGAAUUAGGAGCAUUGCAUUGGAAUGGAAAGAGGCAGACAAACUAACAGAGACCACACAGCAAUCACGCCAGUCACAGACCAUCACCAAGAGGUGGCACUGUUAAACAGCAAACAGAGACAACGACGCCAACACAGGCGCUGACAACCAUCAAGUGAGGCAGCACGUCUGGAUUUGUUUGCUGCAUAGUGUUUGGAACUCUACUUGACUUUACUUUUUGCGCAUUAAGGACAUGUGAUGAACAGAAGCACAGGAGUGCCCUGUAUACCAGCUGACACACGCUAUGAAAUCAGAUAGAGCCGUUCAUUUUCAAGUUCACACAAAAUAGCUUACCAAACAUAUUGCAUGUAACCCUGGACUCAGGGAGACUUAUGUGUGAUGUGGCACUGAAUCUGUGUAAACGUAACAGUCGAAAUAUCUCUGUUCUCUGUGUUAUCCAGACUUCAGGGACAAUGUGUCUCUGUGGGAUGAUAUGAUUGACCCUAAAGCUGGAUAAAUAACAGGCUCACUCAGCUCUCCUCACUCAUUCGAGUGAUACAUGUAUCAGCGUAUGUGCGUUGCUGUGAGUCCUUCUGCAGAAGACUUGAAUAAAAUUCGGGGAAAGACAA